UACAGAGGGGGCCAGCGUUAUUCGGAAUUACUGGGCGUAAAGCGCACGUAGGCGGCUUCUUAAGUCGGUGGUGAAAUCCUGGAGCUCAACUCCAGAACUGCCUUCGAUACUGGGAAGCUCGAGUCCGGGAGAGGUGAGUGGAACUGCGAGUGUAGAGGUGAAAUUCGUAGAUAUUCGCAAGAACACCAGUGGCGAAGGCGGCUCACUGGCCCGGUACUGACGCUGAGGUGCGAAAGCGUGGGGAGCAAACAGG
rnacentral:rRNA from 1 species